AAAGAAACAACAUAGUCAAUACUAAUGAGCUCAACUACAAUCCGAUUCACAAAACCAAACUAAAACCUGAAGAAUAUCAACAUAAACGUGCGAAUACUAGCCCCGUAAAAUUAAAUAAAACUUUAUUCUAUAACUGUGAUUCAAUCUAUAAUUAUUAUUCUGACCCGAAUAUCUCUAGCAGAUCCUUGUCAUUGACUUCGGUUC
rnacentral:lncRNA from 1 species